rnacentral:rRNA from 1 species
GGCCCAGACUCCUACGGGAGGCAGCAGUGGGGAAUCUUGCGCAAUGGGCGAAACCCUGACGCAGCGACGCCGCGUGAGCGAGGAAGGCCUUCGGGUCGUAAAGCUCGGUAGUGUGGGAAGAAGGGAUGACGGUACCUGAGGAGGAAGCCCCGGCUAACUACGUGCCACGAGCCGCGGUAAUACGUAGGG